rnacentral:lncRNA from 1 species
AUUAACUAACAUACUUGUCCAAGAUACCACGGCACAAGAGUUUAGACUAUUUACCAGCCGUAAAAAAUUAAUCUAACAAUUAACUGCACAAUUAUAGUAACAAUUUAUUUUUUAAUGUCAUUUCCGAGCACAUAGCCGAAUGUGACAUUGAUCGCGAUUCAGCCAAUUUCCAAGCGACACAUACACCUGUCACGUGACCUUGGAUCUUCGGUGAUGAUUUGGAAUAAUCUGCGUUCUAACGGACAACUACAACCAAAAUAGAAUAAAUGAUAAGUAAUUGCUAAUAACUCAUAACCAAUAACAAUAAUCGAUCGAGAUUUGAGGGUCGAAGAAAUCGCAACAAAAGAUUUGGUUUCUGUUCCGUUGUCUGCCAUUGCCUAUAGAGUAUAGAAUAGACUUUAGAGUAACACUGUGAAGUAGGAGGAGUAUGGAGGUUAUAUCGAGAGUGGGGAAAGUUAUUUAUGGCAAGCACCUCAGAUACUGUCACAUCAUUAGAGAGACGAGAUGACCGGUCGUAUCAGCCGUCCGUCCGUCCAUACGUCAUCGGAAGGUGUCCAUCUAUUCAUCCUCGAGAGAUCGAGAUCGAGAUCGAAAGAACAGAGUAGGUGAAUUAGGGUGUGAAAGAGUGAAAGAGAGAGAGUUUU